AUUGAACGCUGGCGGAAUGCUUUACACAUGCAAGUCGAACGGUAGAGGGGGCAACCCCUUGAGAGUGGCGAACGGGUGAGUAAUGUAUCGGAACGUGCCCAGUCGUGGGGGAUAACGUAGUGAAAAUUACGCUAAUACCGCAUACGCUCUAUGGAUGAAAGCGGGGGAUCGCAAGACCUCGCGCGCUUGGAACGGCCGAUAUCAGAUUAGGUAGUUGGUGGGGUAAAGGCUCACCAAGCCAACGAUCUGUAGCUGGUCUGAGAGGACGACCAGCCACACUGGAACUGAGACACGGUCCAGACUCCUACGGGAGGCAGCAGUGGGGAAUUUUGGACAAUGGACGCAAGUCUGAUCCAGCCAUUCCGCGUGCAGGACGAAGGCCUUCGGGUUGUAAACUGCUUUUGUACGGAACGAAAAAGCUCUUAUUAAUACUAGGAGUCCAUGACGGUACCGUAAGAAUAAGCACCGGCUAACUACGUGCCAGCAGCCGCGGUAA
rnacentral:rRNA from 1 species